AGAGUUUGAUCCUGGCUCAGAACGAACGCUGGCGGCGUGGAUAAGACAUGCAAGUCGAACGGAUUUAGUCUGGCAGCAAUGUCAGGCUGAGUCAGUGGCGCAAGGGUGCGUAACACGUGGGCAACCUGCCCGGAAAUGGGGGAUAGCCCGCCGAAAGGGGAUUAAUACCGCAUGUGGCUACUGGUGACAUCACCGGGACGCCAAAGCUGGGGUUAAACCUAGCGUUUCCGGAUGGGCCCGCGGCCUAUCAGCUAGUUGGUGUGGGUAACGGCCCACCAAGGCUAUGACGGGUAGCUGGUCUGAGAGGACGACCAGCCACACUGGAACUGAGACACGGUCCAGACACCUACGGGUGGCAGCAGUCGAGAAUUUUUCUCAAUGGGGGAAACCCUGAAGGAGCGACGCCGCGUGGAGGAUGAAGGUCUUCGGAUUGUAAACUCCUGUCAUUGGUGAACAAGGGCUCUGGGUUAACUGCCCGGGGUUUUGAUAGUAGCCGAAGAGGAAGAGACGGCUAACUCUGUGCCAGCAGCCGCGGUAAUACAGAGGUCUCAAGCGUUGUUCGGAUUCAUUGGGCGUAAAGGGUGCGUAGGCGGCGGGGCAAGUCGGAUGUGAAAUCCCGGGGCUCAACCCUGGAACUGCACUCGAUACUGCUCUGCUAGAGAACUGGAGAGGAGACUGGAAUUUACGGUGUAGCAGUGAAAUGCGUAGAUAUCGUAAGGAAGACCAGUGGCGAAGGCGAGUCUCUGGACAGAUUCUGACGCUGAGGCACGAAGGCCAGGGGAGCAAACGGGAUUAGAUACCCUAGUAGUCC
rnacentral:rRNA from 1 species